rnacentral:misc_RNA from 1 species
GAUGAAGAACGUAGCGAAAUGCGAUAAGUAAUGCGAAUUGCAGAAUCCGUGAAUCAUCGAAUCUUUGAACGCAUAUUGCGCUCUCUGGUAUUCCGGAGAGCAUGCUUGUUUGAGUAUCAGUAAACACCUCAACUUCCAUAUCUUUUUUGAAAUGGGAGUUGGACUUGAGUGAUCCCAACGCUUUUCCUCACCGAAAAGUGGCGGGUUACUUGAAAUGCAGGUGCAGCUGGACUUUUCUCUGAGCUAUAAGCAUAUCUAUUUAGUCUGCCUAAAAAACAGAUUAUUACCUUUGCUGCAGCUAACAUAAAGGAGAUUAGUUCUUGUGCUGACUGAUGCAGGAUUCACAAAGACGGCUUCGGCCGACUUUGUAAACUCGAUCUCAAAUCAAGUAAGACUACCCGCUGAACUUAAGCAUAUCAAUAAGCGGAGGA